rnacentral:lncRNA from 1 species
GGAUUGGGUUGGGGGGUAAGGAGUGGAAUUUUAUUUUUUAAUUUAUUUGUGUUUUUGGUAUGUUCUUAGUGGCUUUAUGUUGCUGCUAGAUCUUUUACUUGAUUGUGUUGUUGGUUUUGCUAUCGAUGGGAUUUGGAGGAGGGGGUGGAAUUUGUUUGUUUUGUUUUGUGUGUUUUUUGUAUGUUCUUGGUGGCUUUAUGUUGUUGCUAGAUCUUUUACUUGAUUGUGUUGCUGGGAUUGGAAAAAAGAAGAGGGGGGGUGGUGGUGUUGUGGUAGCUGUCGACUCAACUUCUUUUGUUUUGUUGUGUUGUUGAAGCAAUCGCUGCAAAUCACUAUAGUCGUCUUGAUGUAUGUUCUUUGUGUUUUUGUAUGUUCUUGGGUGGUGUUUUGUUGCUGCUGGAUCUUUUACUUGAUUGUGUUGCUGGUUUUGCUAUCACUGUGAUUUGGGGGGGAGGGUUGGGAAUAUGAUUGGUCAUUUUUUGGGUUUUUUUUAUAUGUUCUUGGUGGCUUUAUGUUACUGAUGGAUCUUUUACUUGAUUAUAUUGCUGGUUUUGUUGUACCUGGGAUUUUGGGUUGGGGGGUGGAGGUGUGUUGUGGUAGCUGUCGACUCAACUUCAUUUGUUUUGUUGUGUUGUUGAAGCAGUCACAGCAAAUCACCAUAGUCGUCAUGAUGUAGUUGCAGCUUGGUCCACGCACGCAAGGUUUUGCUCAAGUUCUGAAUUUGGAGCUGCAAACUUGAAAGUUGACGGUUUGUGUUGGAUAGGGUUUAGCCGCUAUGACGCUACGAGUCUUUUUGGUUUGUCUAAGAGGAUGUGGAGCGGUGUUCUUUUUCUUUAUUUGAUGUAGUCUAAUCAUUCUCAGAAACUCUUUGGGAGUUUGUAUUUUACUUUUCGACUUUUUGAUACGGAUUUUCCGUUUCUGUUGUUGCGCAGUGGAUUUAUAUUGUAAGUCUGCAUACAUGUGCUUUUGUUUGCCGAAUUGGAGUUUUAAGCCUUUUUAUGUUUAAGAGUAAUUCUCUCCAGACCAAACUAAAUUGUUUUUGUGUUUGGUCAUUGGAGAUGUUGUACUCAUAUUUAGCACUAUGGUUGCUCUAUACUUUAUUGUGUUUAAUGAAUAAAAUAUAUCCUUUUUUUAAAUAAAAAAAUAUCGAUCAUUAUGUAUUUGUAAGCUCAUCAACAUUUUCAUGCUCCAAGGGAAUAGAUAAAUGGGUAGGUAAAAUAUACAUACUCUUUCCAAAAAGGCAAUAUUGCCUACUUCAAAGUGAAUAAGUAUAUUGGGC